rnacentral:snRNA from 1 species
AUACUUACCUGGCAGGGGAGAUACCAUGAUCACGAAGGUGGUUUUCCCAGGGUGAGGCUUAUCCGGAUGUGCUGACCCCUGUGAUUUCCCCACAUGUAGGAAACUCAACUGCAUAAUUUGUGGUAGUGGAGGACUGUGUUCGUGCUUUCCCCUG